GUGGUGAGCCUUCUGGCCCUGGCUCUAGCCAUCCUCAGAAUCCUGUAGUAUAGCAGUAUGGCUGGGGCACUCAGAGGGGAUCAGAGGCUGGUGACUCUGUCAUUCUCCCUCUCUCUGCCAUCAGGGAUGGGGGUUGGUGCCUACCCAGACCCGAGUUUCUAUAUGCCCUCUGAAUGACAAAGCUGUCUCUUGCCUCUCAAGAAAAAUAAAACCACAGAGCUUUGCCAGCCGGUCUCGGGGGUCACCUGCUAUGGCACGUUUCUGUUACCCAAUGCCAAGGGUACCAUCUUGCCACCUUGUCUCUCAAGAAUAGAGAAUAACUUCAAGGGGUUGGAGAGAUGGCUCAGUGGUUAAGAGCACUGACUGCUCUUCCAGAGGUCCUGAGUUCAAUCCCUAGCAGCCACGUGGUGGCUCACAACCAUCUGUAACAGGAUCCGAUGCCUUCUUCUGGUGCAUCUGAAGACAGCGACAGUGUAUUCAUAAAUAAAAUAAUUAAAUAUUUUCUAAAAACCCAACAGAAUGACCCUCAAAAUUAGUCCCUUUCUUCACUCUUCAGUUUUUGAAGAUUUUUGUUACAAGAAAAAUGUGGGGGCUGGAGAGAUGGCUCAGCGGUUAAGAGCACUGACUGCUCUUUCCGAGGUCCUGAGUUCAAUUCCCAGCAACCACAUGGUGGCUCACAACCAUCUGUAAUGGACACCCACCCUGUUCUGGUGUGUCUGAAGACAGCUACAGAGUACACAUAUACAUAAAAUAAAUAAAUCUUAAAAAGAAAAAUGUGUUUAGGAACCCUGGUUUCCUGUGAAAAUUUAAAAAAAAAAAAACUGUUGAAGAAACUUCCUUUUGAAAUAUGCACAGCACAAGUAAAUAGUAAUUUGCUGAGCAUGGGGGCUGAUCCAUGCCUGUAAUCCAGCACUCAGGGGGUGGAGGCAGGAGGAUUGUGAGGUCAAAACAUGGACCAAAAAUAAACCCUUUCUUAAAUUGC
rnacentral:lncRNA from 1 species